AACAGCAAAUUAAUGGAGAGUCUUACUUUUUCCAUUGUUCUUUUAAUCUUGCUAUUGAAUAGCUUUGCCUUCUCCUUGAAUUUUGACACAGAUAAAAAUGCACUUAUUUCCUUCAAAAAUUCCAUCACUUCCGACACUAAUGCUAUCUUGAGCAUCAAUUGGUCGCAAAACACAUCAGUCUGUAAUUGGAUUGGUGUGUCGUGCGGCCUCAAACACGGCCGUGUCACUGCUCUCAAUCUCCCUCGAUAUGACCUUGCUGGAACUGUUGCUCCCCAUCUUGGAAACCUUUCGUUUCUAAGAUAUUUGGACAUCAGUUCCAACAGUUUUGUUGGGAUGUUAUCCUUUGAGCUCUCUAAACUGCGUCGUUUGAAGGUGAUGAAUUUGGGAGCAAAUUCAUUCACCGGAGAAAUACCAACAUGGUUGGGCAGUUUACCUCAACUGGAGGAACUCUAUCUGUACAAUAACUCUUUCUUAGGUAAAAUUCCUUCGUCUUUGUUUAACAAUUCCAAGCUCCAGAUGUUACAGAUAUUACACUUGUACAGUAAUAAACUGAGUGGAUCCAUACCACAUGUUAUCUUCAAUGUGUCUUCCCUAAGAGAAAUCAGAAUUGGAAUUAAUAGCCUAUCAGGUCGGCUCCCAAUUGAUAUGUGCAACAAUAUGCCCAACAUCAAAUUCUUGGCACUCUCUUGGAAUCAACUUGAAGGGCAGAUUCCGUCAAAUAUAUGGAAAUGCACACAUCUUGAUGUCUUGUCAUUAUCCUUCAACAAUUUUAGUGGAAGCAUUCCACGUGAAACUGGAAGAUUGAGCAUGCUUACAAAGUUGCACUUGGGGUACAAUAGUGGUUUUCAAGGAGGAGUUCCACCGGAAAUCGGGAAUCUUUCAAGACUGGAGAUUUUAGGGAUUGGCAACGCUUCUCUAACUGGAAUUAUUCCAUCUUCAAUCUUCAACAUGUCAUACCUUGAGAAGUUAUAUCUUGGUGAUAACAAGUUGACAGGACUUAUUCCUCCGAAUAUCUGGAAGUGCAAAAAUCUUGAGAUCUUGAACUUGGGUUGGAACCAUUUCACAGGUACUCUUCCAUCAGAUUUGGGGAACUCACUAAUCAAUCUUGAAAAGCUUCAUUUGAGUUUUAACAGACUCAGUGGCUCAAUUCCAAGCACUAUCGCCAAUGCUUCUAAACUUACAAUCUUGGAGAUGGAUGGCAACUCAUUUAGUGGCUCUAUACCCCACUUCAGUAAUUUGAAGCUCCUACAAUCACUUCUUCUUUCGGAAAACAAUUUGAGUGGAGCAAAAUUCACAACUCAGGAAUUAACAUUUCUCUCUUCAUUAACUAAUUGUCGACAUUUGAAGUACCUGGUAGUAAGUGACAAUCCACUGAAUGGCAUCCUACCCGCUUCAAUAGGAAAUUUUCCUUCAUCUCUUGAGAUGUUUGAAGUAGAAAACUGCGGCAUCACGAGUGUCAUUCCUUCUGAAAUAGGAAACUUAAGCAGUUUGUUAUAUCUAGAUUUGGCUAGAAAUCAGCUGAGUGGACUCAUUCCGCCAACAAUUGGGAAAAUGAAGCAACUCCAAAGACUAUAUCUUGAUGGCAAUCAAUUGGUAGGGUCUAUCCCUAACCAACUUUGCCAAAUGAAUCAUUUGGGGGAGUUUGACCUAAGCAUGAACAUGCUUGUGGGUCCCAUACCUGAAUGCAUAGGUGAUGUUAAAUCCUUGAGAAUGAUCAACUUAGGCUCCAACCAAUUGAAUUCAACCAUCCCUCCUAACUUGUGGGUUCUCACAGACCUUCUAAAUUUGAGCUUGUCCUCCAAUCAUUUGAGCGGUCAAUUGUCAUCUCAACUGGGAAAUUUAAAGUCGAUCGCCUCAUUAGAUUUGUCGUCUAAUCAAUUUUCAGGCAAUAUUCCCACCUUGAUAGAUGGUUGCCAAUCAUUAGAGUUUCUUAACAUAUCAAAUAAUUUUCUUAGCGGAUCCAUUCCUCAAUCCUUGGGAAAUCUUAAAGGUUUGAAAACAUUAGAUUUAUCUUACAAUAAUCUUUCUGGAACAAUACCCAAGUCCUUAGAAGACCUCCUCUUUCUUGAAAAUUUGAAUGUUUCCAACAACAAACUGGAAGGGAGAAUUCCAGAUGGUGGUUGUUUUCGUAACUUUAGUGCACCGUCUUUUGCCAACAACUUAGCUUUGUGUGGUCCAAUAACAUUUCAAGUUCCAGCCUGCCCAGAAAGCCAUCAUAAAUCAUGGUUGAAAAAACUCAUGGUGUCAUUAGUGAUUUUAGCUGUCAUUGUGGCGAUUGCAUUGCUUACUUUCAUAAGGAUGUAUAAACAGAAAAAAGUAGGCCUCUCGGUUCAUUUUUCAGCACAAAUUACUGAAUGCAUAGGAAUUCCUUACAAUGAACUUGAACGAGGAACGAGUUCAUUUAGUGAAACCAACCUACUUGGAAGAGGUAGCUUUGGUUCUGUAUUCGAAGCAACACUUUCUGAUGGGUUGAAAGUUGCGGUAAAAGUGUUCAACUUGGAAGUACAAGGAGCAGCAAGGAGCUUUGGUGUUGAAAGUUCAAUAUUGAGCAGCAUUCGACACAGAAAUUUGGUUCGGGUUAUUGGAUAUUGUUGUAAUAUGAACUUUAAAGCAUUGAUUCUCACAUACAUGCCAAAUGGGAGCUUGGACAAAUGGUUGCAUUCCAGCAAUUAUAGUCUGGAUCUUAUACAGAGGUUGAAAAUAGCAAUAGACGUUGCGGCCGCCUUGGAAUAUCUUCAUCAUGGUCAUACAUUCCCAAUUGUUCACUGUGAUAUAAAGCCAAGCAAUGUGUUGCUUGAUCAAGACAUGGUUGCCCAUCUUGCUGAUUUUGGCAUUUCCAAGCUUUUCGAUGGAGGGGAAACUAUCAUUCAAACACAAACACUGGCAACUAUCGGUUAUGCAGCACCAGAGUUUGGAAUGGAAGGGAAAGUAUCAAUAAAUGGAGAUGUAUAUAGUUUUGGGAUACUUGUGCUGGAGAUGUUUACCGGAAAGAGGCCAACGGAUGAUAUGUUCGAUGAAGAAAGAAGCUUAAAACAGUGGGUAAGUGAAGCAUUAGAGGAAAAUACCGCAACUCAAGUGAUGGCACCUGCUUUGUUGUCAAUGGAAGAUGAGCAUUACUCUGCCAAGGAGAAAUGCAUGUUAUCAACAUUUGAAUUGGCAAUGAAAUGUUUAGCUGUUUCAGCAGACGAAAGGAUCAAUAUGAUUGAAGCAGCGGCUGCUCUGCACAAGAUUUAUGCAACAUUUGUAGCAGGAACUCAAUGGCGCCGUCCAUGAGAUUUUCCCGCCAAAUCUCCACCACAUUCGGUGUCAUUUUGUAGCCGCCAUCAGCCCAUGCCUCCACCCGGUGAUUCGUCUACCUCUAGGCGCUAGCUACAUGCCACGCUGAGAGGAUUAAAAGCAGAUUCAGAAUUCUACUAUGGAGAGGAGCAGAAAAGAAGAUUUGGGCUUAAGGAUUUCAACUGUGUUCCACUGAUAAUGACCAAAUUAUGAUUUAAUUGUUGUAAUUAAAUCAGGCCCAGAGACGUGUAGAAUUAAUUAAUUCUUGACUUUUAUUUGCUUAUGGCCCAAAGCCAAAUUGUUAUCCAAACUUGGACUUUUGAAUUUUAUUACUUGGGAAGGCCAAAGUGUAAUGACUCACAUUAUAUGCUUUUUAUUAAUUAAUGUCCAAAGGAAGAUAUUAAUCAA